AUGCGGAACGAAGCAGUACCGAAAGGAGCUGUGGACUGCAUGGAAGAGAGAAUGCCGGAAUGAGUAGCGAGAAUAAGGUGGGAAUCCUUAUGGCCGAAUAUCCAAGGUUUCCAGAGUAAAGCUGAUCUGCUCUGGGUAAGUCGGGGCCUAAGGCGAGGACGAGAGUCGUAGCCGAUGGACAACAGGUGGAGAUUCCUGUACUGCGGUAUGACAGAACUGUGGGGACACGUAAGGAAAGCGGAAGCCGGGAAUGGAAAGCCCGGUGCAAGCGGGGUACCAGCCACUUUGGCAAAUCCGGGUGGCAAUGGGAAGCCGUGAUGCGGAGCGAAAUAAAGUAGCGAAGUCCGUGAGCCAUGCGUCAAGAAAAGCCGCUAUUGUUUAUACCGUACCCGUACCGUAAACCGACACAGGUGGAUGAGGAGAGAAUCCUAAGGCCGGCGGAAGAAGCAUUGUCAAGGAACUCGGCAAAAUGGCCCCGUAACUUAGGGAUAAGGGGUGCCUGGGAAACCAGGCCGCAGAGAAUAGGCUCAAGCAACUGUUUAGCAAAAACACAGGUCUAUGCGAAACCGAAAGGUGAGGUAUAUGGGCUGACGCCUGCCCGGUGCUGGAAGGUUAAGAGGAGAGGUUAGCGCAAGCGAAGCUUUGAAUUUAAGCCCCAGUAAACGGCGGCCGUAACUAUAACGGUCUAAGGUAGCGAAAUUCCUUGUCGGGUAAGUUCCGACCCGCACGAAAGGCGUAAUGAUUUGAGCGCUGUCUCGACAAUGCAUCCGGUGAAAUUGAAGUACCAGUGAAGAUGCUGGUUACCUGCGCCAGGACGGAAAGACCCCAUGGAGCUUUACUCCAGUCUGGUACUGGGACUCGGUAUUGCAUGUACAGGAUAGGUGGGAGGCUAGGAGAUGGUAACGCCAGUUGUCAUGGAGCCGCUGUUGGGAUACCACCCUUGCAGUAUUGGGCUUCUAACCAGCCGCCGUGACCCGGCGGUGGGACAAUGCCAGACGGGGAGUUUGACUGGGGCGGUCGCCUCCGAAAGGGUAUCGGAGGCGCCCAAAGGUUCCCUCAGAAUGGACGGAAACCAUUCGAAGAGUGCAAAGGCAGAAGGGAGCUUGACUGCGACACCGACGGGUGGAGCAGGUACGAAAGUAGGGCUUAGUGAUCCGGUGGUAUUAAGUGGGAAUGCCAUCGCUCAACGGAUAAAAGCUACCCUGGGAUAACAGGCUUAUCACUCCCAAGAGUUCACAUCGACGGAGUGGUUUGGCACCUCGAUGUCGGCUCAUCGCAUCCUGGGGCUGUAGUAGGUCCCAAGGGUUGGGCUGUUCGCCCAUUAAAGCGGUACGCGAGCUGGGUUCAGAACGUCGUGGGACAGUUCGGUCCCUAUCCGGCGUGGGCGUAGGAUAUCUGAGAGGAGCUGUCCUUAGUACGAGAGGACCGGGAUGGACGGGCCGCUGGUGCAUCGGUUAGACUGCCAAGUCUACGGCCGAGUAGCCAAGCCCGGAAGGGAUAAACGCUGAAGGCAUCUAAGCGUGAAGCCCCCCUUAAGAUGAGAUAUCCCAUUCGAAAGAAGUAAACCCCCUUGAAGACGACGAGGUAGAUAGGGCAGAGGUGGAAGUGCAGCAAUGCAUGGAGCUGACUGUUACUAAUCGGGUGAGGGCUUGACC
rnacentral:rRNA from 1 species